AUUGAACGCUGGCGGCAGGCCUAACACAUGCAAGUCGAGCGGAUGAAGGGAGCUUGCUCCUGGAUUCAGCGGCGGACGGGUGAGUAAUGCCUAGGAAUCUGCCUGGUAGUGGGGGAUAACGUCCGGAAACGGGCGCUAAUACCGCAUACGUCCUGAGGGAGAAAGUGGGGGAUCUUCGGACCUCACGCUAUCAGAUGAGCCUAGGUCGGAUUAGCUAGUUGGUGGGGUAAAGGCCUACCAAGGCGACGAUCCGUAACUGGUCUGAGAGGAUGAUCAGUCACACUGGAACUGAGACACGGUCCAGACUCCUACGGGAGGCAGCAGUGGGGAAUAUUGGACAAUGGGCGAAAGCCUGAUCCAGCCAUGCCGCGUGUGUGAAGAAGGUCUUCGGAUUGUAAAGCACUUUAAGUUGGGAGGAAGGGCAGUAAGUUAAUACCUGGCUGUUUUGACGUUACCAACAGAAUAGCACCGGCUAACUUCGUG
rnacentral:rRNA from 1 species